ACGAACGCUGGCGGCGUGCCUAAUACAUGCAAGUCGAACGGUCUUUCUAUGGAAGCUUGCUUCCACUGAGAAGAUAGUGGCGAACGGGUGAGUAACACGUGGGUAACCUGCCCAUAAGAGGGGGAUAACAUCCGGAAACGGGUGCUAAUACCGCAUAGUUUUCUUGAUCGCAUGAUUGAGAAAGGAAAGACGGCCUUUGUGCUGUCGCUUAUGGAUGGACCCGCGGCGUAUUAGUUAGUUGGUGAGGUAAUGGCUCACCAAGACGAUGAUACGUAGCCGACCUGAGAGGGUGAUCGGCCACAUUGGGACUGAGACACGGCCCAAACUCCUACGGGAGGCAGCAGUAGGGAAUCUUCCGCAAUGGACGAAAGUCUGACGGAGCAACGCCGCGUGAGUGAAGAAAGGUUUUCGGAUCGUAAAACUCUGUUGUCAGAGAAGAACAAGUUGGAGAGUAACUGCUCCAGCCUUGACGGUAUCUGACCAGAAAGCCACGGCUAACUACGUGCCAGCCGCGGC
rnacentral:rRNA from 1 species